rnacentral:lncRNA from 1 species
UAAGACUAUAUUGACAAGCCCUGUAAUCAUUUGGAAAUAUAAUGAAAUUGAACCCACACGUGUACUGACAUGCUGAUAACUUCUUAUCUGGUCACAGUAUUCACUGAACGAGGCAUAUAUCUACACUGUGAACGAGGCAUAUAUCUACACUGUGAAUGAGGCAUAUAUCUACACUGUGAAAGAGGCAUAUAUCUACACUGUGAACGAGGCAUAUAUCUACACUGUGAAUGAGGCAUAUAUCUACACUGUGAAUGAGGCAUAUAUCUACACUGAAUGAGGCAUAUAUCUACACUGAAUGAGGCAUAUAUCUACACUGAAUGAGGCAUAUAUCUACACUGAAUGAGGCAUAUAUCUUCACUGUGAACGAGGCAUAUAUCUACACUGUGAACGAGGCAUAUAUCUACACUGUGAACGAGGCAUAUAUCUACACUGUGAGUGUGAAAGGGUAUUGAGAUACACGAUCUAAAUCACAUCAGUUCAUCUCGCUGUGCAUCAUAUUUCCAACAGCUUUAUUGCACCAGAGUUCAUGGUGGUAAAUGUGUAUUUUUACUCCUAGUGUUGUUAUUAGGAUGUGUUCCAAAUGGUAACCUGUUCCCCAUAUAGUGUACCCUAUGGGCUCUGGUCUAAAGUAGUGCACUAUAUAGGGAAUAGGGUUCUAUAGGGCUCUGGUCUAAAGUAGUGCACUAUAUAGGGAAUAGGGUUCUAUAGGGCUCUGGUCUAAAGUAGUGCACUAUAUAGGGAAUAGGGUUCUAUAGGGCCAUGGUCUAAAGUAGUGCACUAUAUAGGGAAUAGGGUUCUAUAGGGCUCUGGUCUAAAGUAGU